rnacentral:misc_RNA from 1 species
UCUCCGUAGGUGAACCUGCGGAGGGAUCAUUACAGAGUUCAUGCCCUACCGGGUAGAUCUCCCACCCUAUGUUAUUAUUACUUUGUUGUAUUGGCGGGCCGUUAGGCUCCGGCCCGACUACCGGCCCCGGCUGGUAAGCGCCCGCCAGAGGACCCAAAACCCUGAAUAUUAGUGUCGUCUGAGUACUAUAUAAUAGUUAAAACUUUCAACAACGGAUCUCUUGGUUCUG